rnacentral:rRNA from 1 species
UACGUAGGGUGCAAGCGUUGUCCGGAAUCAUUGGGCGUAAAGCGCGCGUAGGUGGCCAUUUAAGUCCGCUGUGAAAGUCCAGGGCUCAACCCUGGAAUGCCGGUGGAAACUGUCGAGCUAGAGUCCGGAAGAGGCGAGUGGAAUUCCUGGUGUAGCGGUGAAAUGCGCAGAUAUCAGGAGGAACACCGGUGGCGAAGGCGGGUCUCUGGGCCGAUACUGACGCUGAGGAGCGAAAGCGUGGGGAGCAAACAGG